GCACACGGGCUUAGUGGUUAGCACGUUCGCCUCACACCUCUAGGGUCCCAGGUUCGAUUCCCGCGGAGUUUGCA